UACGUAGGCAGCGAGCGUUGUUCGGAAUUACUGGGCGUAAAGAGUGUGUAGGCGGUGCUCUAAGUCUGUUGUGAAAUCUCCCGGCUCAACUGGGAGGGUGCGGCGGAGACUGGAGUGCUCGAGUGUGGGAGAGGUAAGCGGAAUUCCUGGUGUAGCGGCGAAAUGCGUAGAUAUCAGGAGGAACACCUGUGGUGUAGACAGCUUACUGGACCACGACUGACGCUGAGACACGAAAGCGUGGGUAG
rnacentral:rRNA from 1 species